rnacentral:misc_RNA from 1 species
GCAAUCCGAGAAUUUCACCUCCAACAAUUGAAUACGAAUACCCCCAACCGCCCCUAUUAAUCAUUACUUCGGCGUGCAAACCAACAAAAUAGACCACCAAAGUCCUAUCUCAUUAUUCCAUGCUAAUGUAUUCAACGGCCUAAGCCUGCUUUGAACACUCUAAUUUGUUCACAGUAAACGACGAGCGUCACUCCGCCGACAACUUAAUGCCAGCAAAGCUUCCCCCGAGGAUGGCCAGGCGUGUACAAGCGCCGACCCCUUUCGGAGCCAGGCCGACAGCCCCACCAGAAAUCCAACUACGAGCUUUUUAACUGCAACAACAUUAAUAUACGCUAUUGGAGCUGGAAUUACCGC